GGAAUGCUUCCAGCACCUUGUUGAAUCUAUGCCAUGAAGAAUUGAGGCAGUUCUGAAGGCAAAAGGGGGUCCAACCCGUUACUAGCAUGGUGUACCUAAUAAAGUGGCCGGUGAGUGUAUGUGCGCAUGUAAAUCAUCAGCAAUUGUCAAAGCGUAUUUUUUCUGUUUGAUGAACUGUGGGUGAUUCUUUGGGACAGCAGCGGCGUGUCACACAAAUAUACAGGACCUGUGCUCUGACUCAAGCAACUUUUUAAAGGUACUAGGAAAGCCGCAAUAUUUGUUGUGAAACAACAUAUAAAUAUGCAUUAAUGGACUAAUUGAUUGCAAUAAAGCUGUAGAAAAUCUGAUAUUUGGUUUUGUUGAAAUUUCGAAAGAAGGAGUGCAUUUAUGCUAAAUCUUUGGUUUGAGUUUUUGCCAAAAUUGUCUUGGAUGAACAGGUCAAAAGGUCAAAAUACCAAAGAUCAACUAUAAAUGUGUUACUCAGUUACUUUAAGAUAUCAAAACAUGAAUUUUAAACACCUUUUGGUUUGGACUUAUCUGUUAAUGGUGAGCUAAAUCUCUUGGUUAUGUCAUGGGUAGGGUACAUUCCGUCCUCUUCAAGGUCCAGGCCAAUUUUCAUCCCUUCCACUUUUUUUUCAGCGCUAUCUAUUUUCCUCUUUUCACUGUCCAUUCCUCUCACCGUACUCCUCUCUGACAGGACUAAAUGCACUCCUUAUAAAAAAAAAAGUCCCCUAACCCUUAAAUGCUUAGUGUCCUUUUAAACUCUUCCUCUCCAGACUCGGUGCUAGAGGGUGGGGAAUAAAUUUAAAAACAUAAACAAAGCUUUAUCAUGCUGUGACUCACACAGAGACACACACACACAAACACGUAUACCCGCCUCAUUGUCAGCUACUUUUUGAUGUCUAUCCAUAAAGACCGCAGUCACACAGCAGAAUGACAGGAAGCAGACUGUGGAGGGUUUGCAGGCAGGUGAGACAGUUGUAAGAAGUGAUGUACUGUAGAGAGUGUGUGUGUGCGUGUAAAGGACAGGGAGAGGAAGAAGCGAGAGAAUAACAUGGGUGUGAGAUAAGUGAGCGUGUGUGUGUGAGAGAGAGAGUCAGAGAGAUCAGAACAUGUUGAGAAGAGCUUUCGGCUUUUCUCUCCGAGGAUAAAGCGUGUUCCGGCCUUGUGCUGCUGAAUCCUGCUGCAGCGCUGUCCGUGGUGCUGAAUCGGCUGCAGGGUCUUCCGUCUCUCUUUAUCUCCCUCCCUCCUUCCCUUCCCGCUCUCCUCCCUUACACUUUCUCUUCUUCUCCCUGUCUUUAUCUCCUGUGCCCGCUCAAAGUCUCCUCUAUCUUUCCCUCUCAACUUCACAGGCACUUUAUUGUUAAGAAACACAGCUUGUUGCCACAGCAGUGUCAACACACACCCCAUUGAAGUGACAGGAUCCAAACGUCAACACAAAGACGCAAAAUAUGCCAACUGAGUAUGGGAAAUGAAAUAGGAAAAUAAGCCAUAGGAACACACAAAAAAAAUCAAUGAAAAAAAUUUUGUUUGUUGUAUAUGACGACUUUUUUUUAAUGUUUAAUAUAAAAAAUUCAAGCAGACUGUCCAAUUGUGAAAAAGGAAUACAUGAUUAAUCAAACCUGCAGAAUAUAAACUAUUAGCACACAAAACCUUGUCUAAAAUCUAGUGUCAACCCUAAAAGUAAAGUCUGGAAGAGUCUACACAACACAAAGUGGUAGGUGGCCAGUGUUUAUCUCAUUAAAAAUAAAUAAAUAAAUAAGAAAAAUUGAAAUAAUAACAAAGGUGCUUAUCGUUUGAAAUAAACUAACUGAUUGACCCUUUUUAGUGUUAAAGGCACUGUCAGCAACGUUCAUCCUGGGUUGAAAUAUUUGUUUUUUUAAAGGAUAAAUACCGCAUUUCCCAUAAGCCCUCUCACCUGCUGUCUUACAAUUGGGAUCGUGCCAAAGUGUGCAUUUGCUAUGUAAGCAAAUGAACAGAGUUACAUCCUUAAUUCUAGUUUUCUUUGAGUGUUGUUACUAUUAAUUAGCUUACUAAAGGUGACCACUUGUCACUUUUACCUGCCACAGUAAUGGUGUUGUUCACAAAAAGUCUGAACAGGAAAAAUGCGCACAUGGUUUGACCCUUGUACUGAAAGAGAAGUAGAGCAUUCACACGCCUGGAUUAACAAUAAAUCCUGUUCUUAGUCAUUCUGCUCUUUUAACCGGCAAAUCCCUGGUUGGAUAGUUGCUCUAGUCCACCAGGAAGUGUAUGUCUUUAUGCUAAUCCUUGUUCAGUGUCUGCCAUAAGUAUAAUUUAAAAAAAAAUAAAAUGACAAAAGAAAAGUAUUCACUUUUCAUAAAAAAAAAAAAAGAUAACACUGAUAUUGACCGUAGGGGGACAGAUACGGAUUAUGUUAAAAAGCCAUAAACGGCCAGAUUCUCCUGACUUAUUUCUCUGACUUCAUCGGCAAAGUUUUAAACAGAACCGUUACCAAGUAAGCCAAUAACAUCUGUUUAACCUCUUUAAACCUACCAAAACACAGGCACCAUAAUCACACAAGGAAAUAACCAAUUUUGUCAGGACUAGUUUUAAUUUUUGAUGUAGGACCUGAAGAAACAUUAGUGUAUGAGUGACACUUCUCUACAUUACUUAACCCUCCUCCUGUGUUCGGGUCUGUACUGACUCGGUUUUGAUUUUAAAUGCUUAAAAGAACCACUUAAAUUAGCUUUUUUGCAUCAAGACUUUUUGACUUUGUCAAGAACCUCUAUUUCAACUAAAUAAAUAUAAAAAAAAAUAAUUGACUAAAUUAUAAAAUGCUCUUAUUAAAAUUCUGUUGACCCAGUUAGAUCAAUGUCUAAUAAUCAAGGCAAAAACUGAAAUCAUAAGUGCACUGUCAGGCACCACACUGACAGUCAGAUCCUCUUCCAAUCAUGUGAGAUUUAGGAAAUUCUCAUUCUGCCAUGUCUGCCACAUCUGUGUGAGGGGUAUACUGACAAAGAAAGGCCCAGAGGCUGACUACAAAAAUAUUAAAAUCAAUAUUUUCAUGGAUAAUGAAGCCCAACAAGGUAACCUAGAGAUGAGAAUCAAAAUGGAUGAUAGAGAAUUGUUUUUAGCGGGAUUUACAGCUGAUUUAAGACACGGGUCAAAACCAACCCUUUACAUAGUGGAUGUGUAGUAAAAGCUAACACAAGAGGAAGGUUAAACACUCCUUUUAGUGCUUUUAACUAAAAAGUCAGGGAAGUCAAUUUUCAAAGCAUCAAAAACAGAUAAUCUAUUAUUAGAAAUAAGAAUGUUUGUGACAAAUAAUAAUAAGUUGUUUAAGAGUCCCCUAUAACAGUGACUAAAUGUCCGUGGAUUGAUCCUACUGCCGAAUGUGCUAUGAAAACCUCUCUUUCUGCAGCUCUUUUUAACAUCACAAUGUAACUGAAUGGAUCUAGUGGAGAAAUGGGGCUUGAUAAAGUGGAGGUAAACUCAUGGGACAUCUUUUUUCUGCAUGGUGCCCCCUAAGCUCUCCUGUGGUGCAGUGUCACGGUCUGUCCGCCAGAUCUCCGUUCGCUACAGUUGAAUUUCUCUUCAGGGUUUAUUAGUCAUACUCGUUAUCAGCCUGCUUUCUAGGGUGAAUAUGUAACCCUUUUUGCCCACAUUGGGUUUUUCUUUUUAUAUUUGUUAUUGCAUAAUUCAUAACAGUCAUCUUUGACCAUCACUAGAGGACCAAAUCAAUCCUCGAAUGCAUGGUCUUGAGGGAAUUUCAGGGCAGCGCUUUGCUUCCCACCACAUCUGUUUUACCUGUCUUUGUUCUUUCUGGCACAAUACAAUAUCAUUCCUAAUUUGCAUGAGAAAAAAAAACAGAAAUAAAACAGUGUGUUCGUCAAGGGCCUGCACCAAUAUUUACACAGCCCCGAUGACUUAACUCUGGGGUUCCUUGAGGUCAAUGAUGAUUUUUCAUCCCGGGAUCCCAGAAUGAGUACAUUUUGUUCCACCCUGAGGACACAUGGUCUAAUUAAAACAUUGCCACAGUGGAUAGAACCCAUCAGAAACAAGACUCUGACCCAUUUUCUCGUUCUGAUCAGUAGUUAAAGACAAAGUUGCUUCAGGCUUUUCAAAAUCUCAUCAAAUUAGACCUUCAAAUGCCACUAGAAGUGACUGUUAUUCAUGUUUCCAAAAAUAUACAUCAUGGACCUCCACAUGUCAGGUUUUUUUUCACUCCCUGCCUUUGUUUUACUCACACACAGACACAGGAAUAUGUUUUAUGUCUUGUGAGAGUGACCUUUACCCUAUAGUAAGGUCCAGGGGUUUCUCUAGCUUGAUUGAGGUUAGAGAUCAUGAAGCAUGACGUUAGGAGUUUUCAUUUUCUGUGCCCCUGUCUGAUCUCCGUCUAUUCACUUAAUCUGUUUGUCUGGCUCUUCUCUGAUUGUCUGUGUUAUAGUUUUUAUCUCUUCAUUAUCUCCUGCCCGCCGUGCCCCACCACCAACGCCAACAACCAUGACCCGGAAUUAUAUUCUUCUGAACCAGCCGUGAACCAUCGCAUUUAUACCAUCUCUUGCUAAUCAGAUAAUUACGGAACUCUCACUCUUUAUAAACCAUGAAAUCCUGCAGGAUCUGUACAGUGAGAAGACUAAUCUGUCUCCUGACUUUAUUGUUCUGCCAAGUGCGAAUGUCUGCAUCCACCAGAGAGUAAACACAUUAGACAUUUUAUGAAAGAGACGCGGCUCUGCAUCUAUAGCACACCAGUGACUCAAGUAUUGAUCAGACCAAUAACACGGCAUCAAAAUGACUAAAACUGCAUCAAAACAGGGGCACGGCCAAAGUGGUACCCAGGGAUGGCACGGCCCCUGCUUGGGAACCGAACAAGGAUCAGCUAUUAGCUCAUCAUAUAUGUUAAAACCAACCAUUUAAACAGGCUACUACAAGAUGUCCAUGUAGAUUCUCAUUCAUCCAGGUCAUGGUUUUCUUGAAGACUCCAAAAACAGGCAACUGGAUUGUGUAGAGUUGACAGUAUCCAAACGUCAGACAUCUCACAUCUUCUCAACUCUACACAGUCCAGUUGCCUGUUUUUGGAGUCUUCAAGAAAAGGCUACUACAAGCUUCUGUUGCAAUUUUGAUUGAGGACCUAAGACUGCCUCUGUCUCUGCAGUGUGUGAGUCUGAUAACAGCCAGAUAUCUGACUCAUCAUCAGUAUUUGAUGAAUAAGUGUAAAAAGUUUUAUUUCUUUAUCAAACUGUUUGACAUCUAGCCCUGAGCAAUUGCUGCAGGCGUUAAAACUUCAAAACAGAAAUUGGCAAUCUUCAUACUAACAUUCCAGUUUUCUUUUCUGGAUAAUAAAGAGGCAUCACUUUUUAUUUAGUUCUUUCAUAACAGGGGCUUCAAUAUUAAAGGGAUAUUCCGGCAUAAAAUUAAAACACAAACACACCGUAACAUCGAGUUAGACACCCCAUCGAGAGAUGAAUGUGGCCAACCGUUUGCUUUUCUUGUUUUACCAACUUCAGUAACAACCGCAGGAUAGCGUUAUACAGUGGUCUGAUGAGCCAUAAACAAACCUCACCCAAAACGCCACUCUAUAGCCACAAAUAAUGCUCAGAACAGCACCUAACUUCAUCAACAGUACAUAUAAGGUCCCAGCCACAGUACUAGCCACCAAACAUCUUUUUAGCUUUGCCUGAUUUCUUUAGGAAAGAGACUAAACACAACUUACCCACUCUCCUCCAGCAGCCGUUUGUUUGUAGCGAGACCUUAGGUGCAGCAGGGUGACGCAGCUCAAGGAAGAACAUUUAUGAUCAUUUCUUUAUGGAAAUGCAAUCAGACCGAGACACUAAGGCAGAAGAACUACUACGUCUGCAGUGCAAAAUGAUUAAUAUGGUGAUUAUUACUUCAAGGAAAUGAUAAAGUCAUGAUCACAAAUGUUCUUCCUUGAGCUGCGUCACCCCGCUGUAGUCCGUAAUAGACUAGCCUGAGGUCUCGCUACAAACAGACAGCUGCUGGAAGAGAGUAGGUGAGUUGUGUUUAGUCUCUUUGCUAAAGAAAUUAGGCAAAGCGAAAAAGAUGUUUGGUGGCUAGUGCUGUGGCUGGGGUCUUAUAUGUACUGUUGAUGAAGUUAGGUGCUGUUCUGAGCAUUAUUUGUGGCUAUAGAGUGAUGUUUUGGUUGAGGUUUGUUGACGGCUCCUCAGACUGCUGUGUAUCGCUAUCCUGCGGUGGUUACUAUGGGGUGUCUAACUCGGUGUAACCGUGUGUUUGACCCUAAAUUAAUUUUACGCCGCAACAUCCCUUUAAUGACUUAUCUAGUUAAAGUAGUUGCUUAUACUACACAUGCAUAAGUAAAGGCCCCAACACCUUUUAGCUAAGAAGAGAAGACAAGAAAAAUGUGUUUAUUUUAUUCGUACAAAAUUCCUAAGUUUUGCAAGUGAUUGUUAUUUCUUUACUCAGGGAAACAUUGGUAUGUUUUAACAAGAGGUCAAACCUAUCCAUAGGUGACAGGGGUUGCCUACUGAAGCCGUGGCUUUUGACUCAACUGACCCACACACACACAGCCGGUGCUGUCUUUUAUGACACUGAGUAAGGGCUGAGAUUGUUAGAGAGCGCCAACGGUGAUCUGAGGGUGAGUGUCACAUCAUCACUCACAGGAGAAAAAUAUUUCUGAACUCCACCACACUCACAAUAACUUAUUUUUUUCCCAUCUGAUAUAUGUCUUUCUCUCCUCCCAUCUCCUCCUUCUCUGCAGCAAACGUCCACAUCUCCUUAUGUGGUGUUCAUUGUCUAUUCAUAGGCGGAGAUUUAUGCUGAUUAGUGGCUAUCGGGAGCAAGCUGUCUUUUUCUGAUGAAUUGGCAUUCAUGAACUUUCAUGAACUUCCACACAUGCCUAUGAUCAAACCAGGGGUUUCUGACACGUUCAUGAAUCUAGAGCAGUUUUUUAGCACCAAUGACAUUCAUGUGUAAAGGUACACAUAAAUUUGCUUACGUUUCAUGAAUAAGACCCAAUAAACCUAAACCACAAAAUCACUGCUGCAGUCUUCAACGUCAACUUCAUUAGCAACCAGAAGUCUAAGGUCAUCUAUCAGUUGACAGCUUAUCAUAAGGAGGGGAAUCAAAGGAAAAAGGAUAGCUCUGCAACCAAAAACAAUGCAUAUUAAAUCAUAUUUAGGUUUUUGUUUUUGAUAUGAUAAACAGUAGUCAGGUUCUGCAAAAAAAUCAGUAGGGAUGGUGGAUUUUUUUGCUUGGGACAGAUAUCGUCACCCUAAAAUAAUUUUUUUGGCCUAUAUUCAUCUCAAGAGAUGAUGGAAUUGAUAUGCUUUAUUUACAGCCGGCUUUCCAAGGUGCAGUGCAAAAAUAUUUACAAAAGUGCAAAAGAAAAAAAAGGUUCAAUACUGUUUACAAAAUAUAAUAAAAUAUAAAACAAAAUAAUUUCAAGGGUAGUUGACUGAGCUAGACUCCAUGUGACCCUGUAUGUGCUGUGCAGUGAUCUACCAAUCACAUUCGUUCUUUACUUAGUUGCCAAUUAGACUACCCUGCUAGCUGUCAAUCAAAACCAGAGAGUAGGAAACCACGCCCCUGCACAUGGAGUGAGUUGCCGGCCCAUGCUGGUGUUGUGCAGAGAAAUGCAAACCCUCCGAGAAUUACUUUCGGAACGUUACUCAUCAGUGUUUAGCCCCACAAAUAAAAAUUUUAUGGGUUUUAAAUUGUACAUUUGAAAUGAAAGAGAGAAAAACGCCGAAAAUGAAGACUUGUUGCCAAAAAGAAAAGCAACAUCAGUUAUCUGGAAUUUUUUCAGUUACAAGAAGGACAAUGUUGACCAAAACACGUGUUCUGUGUUCAUCUGUUGCCACAAUAACGUCCCAGCACAGUAAAAGCAAGUUAAAAUAUCUCUAAUUCAAACAGAAGCCAUUCUACUAACGUUCACAAAAAGAGGUAAGAUCAGAGCAGGUUAACUGUCCACAAGAUUUCAACAGUGCAGCAUAAUAUAAAGUGCUAUUCAGGUCAUCUGAAAAAAUUCAUGUAUUUUUUAAUAUCGCAAUAUAUAUCGCAGGGUUGAAAAAAUUGCAAUGUCAGUUUUUUCGAAUAUCUUGCAGCUUUAUCAGGAACCCACUUAUAAUCCCGAGGCCCCACUAAGGUCCGCUUCCCUCGUUUUGGGAACCCCUGGCUGAGUCGGUGUCUUUAUUCCUCCCAGAUCCAAACUAUCAGCUUCUUCCCACAUGCAGGUGAACGCCCCGGCAUGGCAUCACGCGCAUUCGUCAUAACGCAUCCAUCCGAUAUCAGCAGCGUGUAAUCCCGGAGCCGCGUGCUGUCAAUAGACGGAGCAAGACACGGAUACAGAGGAGUGGAGGCAGACAGGGAGAGGAGCCUGUAGGCGGAUCGCCUCCCGGGACAAACCAUCACACAGUGUGAAAGUAACUGCGGGAGACGCUCGCAGUGGCGGAGCAGGGCGCUCUUAAACGACAGGGAGAAGAAGGACGUGAUUAGAGGCUGCUGUCUAAGAGGGAUUUAUCAUCAUUUUCUCUGUCUGGAGUUCGCCUUUUUCCCUGACCUAUAACGCCUCCAUCCAUAGCGUGCAAUCCACCGGGCAGCACGCGCAUUUGUCCGUGCAGGAGCGAAGAGAGAGGUCAAGGCAAAGUCACUUCUGUGGCUCAAAGAAGGAACGGCAAUUUUCCAACCUUCUCAAAUUGUUUCCUAUCUCCUUUCACUUCAUUUGUGCACUUCUUUCUCGAUUUCUCUCUUGAGUGGAUACUCUUCUACGGCAGAAACGGAUUAUUAUUCCGCGACCGGGUCAAGACUAAAGGCAAAGAGCUCUGAAUGAGUGAGCUGUUAUGUUGGUGCAGGAAUGACAGCUGAAUGGGGGAGCGUGGAGCAUCUGUAGGGGAGCUUUUCGUGGAGACCGGCUGAGUAGCCGAAAACGACGAACGAGAGAGCAGAUACUUCUCAGUCUCCUCCCAUUGAUAUUCCUCUACUCUUAAACUAAUCCCUUCACUAUUGAGAUUCAAUCCUUUUCAUGUUGUCAUAUUUUUUUUAAAGAGGAGUCCAAACGGAACGCAGGGUUCUCAUGUGGAGUCCAAAUGAGUGCGCAACGCGGCGGUGCGCCGGUGUAACGGCGUUUUUUUCCACGCUCACACUUCUGUCCCAGUGGAUCGUCGGUGGACACUGAGCUGCUGUAGAUCCCCGGCUGCCACCGGCCGCGUACCCAUACACCGAUCUCUUAUGCAAACUCAACGGGAACUAAACUAAAUAGCUUGCCCUAACACCUCUCCUGGAGCCCCGUUGCGCUAGGUGUGAGACCCCUCCUGAAGAAAAGUGGAUAUGAUUUCUUAUUCGGUUUGCAAAUCUACCUGAACAGGAGGAUUAUUUGUCACAUUUUUUUUGCACUGUAGAGUUCUACACCUGGCUUGAUAACCGGGGGAGAAACAGCCUCCACCUAGCCGAAGUGGAGGAGGAGAGGGAGCAGCACAGGUAUGACCAUCUUCUUAUCUACUAUGAUCGUCUGUCUGACCAACGCUGAUCUUCGUCAUUUAUCACAGUUUUUUUGGACUCUCCUCGCUUAUUAGCAGAGGGGGUUGAGUUGUAAUUUUGGAAGAGCUGAACUGAGUCCACGCACUCGCAAAUACGCACGCGCACAAACACAUAAGAGGAGAAGGCAGAUGGGGAGAUAAUGGCGCUGGUGUUCUCUCUCCCAUACGAUUUAGAGAUGCUGAUAUCCGUUUUUAUAGAUUAAAGACUAGAGGGAUGGAAGAGGGGGAGUGAUGAGAUGCCGAGGGGCUGUAAAGCAUGGAAAGUGUGAAUAAAUGGGCCUGAAACAGAUAAGGAGAGGAGAUAUAGCACUGGGGUGAGAUAAGAAGAAGGGACGGGAUGAAAGAGCAGGUGGGUAAAAAAGCAGCAUGGGAGAAAAAGGGGGCAAAGGGGAGUCAGGGAGUUUUGAGGGAGGGGAAGAAAAACAAAGAAAUGAGAGGGUUAUUAAUAAUUAAAAUGGGGGGGAUGGAGCAGACAUAAAAUGAGAGCAGGGCUGAGGAAGCGAGGACAUGUGGGGAAGAGAGACAGGAGGGACUGAGGAGGAGUUGUUAGGGGACAAGGGGAGAGGAGAGGGUGCAAGGCUAGAAUACAGAAAAGGAAGGGGAGAGGAGAGAAGAUGCCCUGAAGAUAGGGAAGAUAGAGGGGUUGUUAAGAUAAAGGGAGAGGAAAAGGAGGGGGGGACCUGAUGGCAGGUGAGGGGAAGGACUGCUGUAAAGGUGAGGGGAGGAAAAUAGGAGAGGACAGGAGCAGGUAAUGGAGGGCAGGUGGUGGGGAAACAAGCGAGAAAAUACAGGAGAGCAAUGAGAACAGAGAGAGGGGGCAGGCAAGCUCUAACAAUAGCAUGCUGGAGGCCAAGUGUAAAAUACUUUUACAGUGCUGUGCUGUAGCUACGGUGUGGUAUCAUCCAGUGGAUUGCUGUGUAAUGGUCGCUUGCUGCUGCUGCACCAUGGAGACAGCAGGAGAGAGAGAGAAAGAGAGAGACGGAGAGAAACCACAGCCAACUGUUUAGUUUGCAGCGUCAGCUCAUCAGCUCCUCUUUACCUUGUAAAUUCUCUCUUCCUCUCUAAAAGCCCCAUUUGCAUUUUGAUGGCGGUGGUCAAUAUCUCUAAGUCUCCUUAAAACACAUGUAAACACACAUGCAAGAUUGAAUGAGAUCUUGGGGGAGAUGAAUCGCAGAUUUUCUUGUGUCAGUCUCAGAAUGUGUAUACCUGUGGAUUAGCUGGAGCCAUGUUUUCAAUCGUCAAACUUCAUAGCCUGGAUUUUUUUUUUUUAGCUUUUCAUUUUGCUUGUUUAGCAGUAUCAUGUUUGAAUGUGGCUUGAAACAGUUUCCUGGCAGAAAUGUUCAAUUUUUCCACAUUGAAGAUGAAGUUUCAGAUGAAUAUAAUCGUAUUUUGCAGUUUAAUCAGCACCUCAACAUAAUGAAAUGCAAUGAGAGGCUGGAAGUGAAUAAAAUCUGGAGGGACUAUAUUCUGUCAGCACGUAUCUUUGAUCAUGACUCCAUUUGCUCUCCGACAUUUAAAACUUAUAAAACCUACAAAUUUAAAUCCUGAUUUUACUGAGCUUUGAAAAAUGUGCUAAAAGAAGAUAUCAGCCAGACUGUUUCUGCCUACUAUAAAAACACGUUUUAAUCAUAUCUGUGCAGUAAGAAGUUGAUGUACUCCUGAAGUAUGCUGUAAUGAGUCUGGCCUUAAUUCUGGUAACUUACAUCUAUGCCAGCAUGCACACAGUAUUCAAGCUCAUGUUCUAGACAAGCUUAUAUUUCUGAUGCAUCUUCCUAUCCCACACAUGAAUAUCACUACACAUGAGUAAACAGAAUCUGCUUGCACUGUCAUGGAAACUGAGUUCUCUGAGGCGCUUAAGAGAUAGAACUAAAAUUGGAUUGGAAGUACCUCAGGGAAAUGCUUGAGGGUCAAGCUUUUUUAUUCUUGUUUUUCAGUGCCAUAAAACACAGCUGAGUUCUUUUUUUAAUGAAUCGGAAUGACUUUUGCAUGAAGGAACUCCAAAAACAGAGUACUUGACUCCUCUGCAGUUAAUUGGGUGUUUCUGCGCAUGCAAACACACUGUUGUUGUCAUACGCAGAUGUUUUCAAAAGCAGCGCCUCUUUAUAAUGAUUGUAAAUAACUCAGUUUGUGCCUACUAAGUCACAAAACGCAUGAAGUACUAAAGAAUAUCUUAUUUAUUCAUCUUGUGGUUUGUGAUUGGGAAAUUUCCGCCACUUUUUUGUUUAAUGGCAAAACAUCCAUUUGCAUGCAAGCUUUGUUAAGCUGCACAAAAAAUCUGAAUCCCCUUCCUUUAUAGUCCUCGUAUAGAACCCACCUCCAUCUAAAUGAAAGACUGUGGAAGUCCCAGUAUAUCUGAGAUGGUAGGAGGUCAUUUUGAAUGGCAGUGGAUCCAGUUCGUCUAGUAGCUGACAUGAGCUGACUGAUGGGUUUGACAAUGCCUAAUUAGCUUCGCACUAGAGUAUUACUACAACUUGAUGGGCAUAGUGAAAUGAUGGUAGGGUAUUUAAGGAUAGGUGACAUAACUUAUAAAUUUAAAGCUCCCGUGAGUAACUUUUGAUUUGUGUUGAUUUUGGCGCCCCCUGUGGACAAAGCUGUCUUUGCUGAUUUAUGACAACAAAUCUCAUUUUGCUGACUUCUGUCAGUCAAAUAUAUCAUUCAUAGUAGUGUUUGGCGGUAUGAACAAAAUCUUAUAUCAUGGUAUGAGUAAUUUCAUAUCACGGUAAAGGUUUAUAUCAUGGUAUGUUUUUCAUUGUCGGAUUUUCUAAAUCCGAAGAUUCUCCAGACGACCGAUGUCGUGACUCGCACCCUUUUUCUGAACAGGUUCCUCCUCCUCUUCCUCAUGUUGGGUGGGUCAGGCUGCCUCUGUUUGCCCGAUACUGCCACUAGUCUCUGCGUCUGCCAUGACCACCACUAGUGAAGCUGUUUCUUCGUCAUCAAAACUAUGCCAAGCAGUCUGCUGGACAUGCUGGUGAUGAAAUGGAGCGCACCUUAACCUGAUCAACAAACAGAACAAACUCUGCACAACACACUGGUCAAUAUACUGAAACACACCCAAAUGGAUGCGCUCUGGCUUUCCAGUGUAGACAACUACACACUGACUC